AGGAAACACCCCGUUUCUCGCUGAUUUCACUGUUUUCAGGAAUGGUUUAAUGUCUUCGAAAAGUCCGUUAGCAUUUCUACCGUUUGAAGACGACGUAUGGUCAGAUUCUUCAGUGCUGAUGGCCUGCUGCAUCCAGCAGAG